CGUAGGGUGCAAGCGUUGUCCGGAAUUAUUGGGCGUAAAGAGCUCGUAGGCGGUCUGUCACGUCGGCUGUGAAAUCCCGAGGCUCAACCUCGGGUCUGCAGUCGAUACGGGCAAACUAGAGUAUUGCAGGGGAGACUGGAAUUCCUGGUGUAGCGGUGAAAUGCGCAGAUAUCAGGAGGAACACCGGUGGCGAAGGCGGGUCUCUGGGCAAUAACUGACGUUGAGGAGCGAAAGCGUGGGAGCGAACAGGAUUAGAUACCCUGGUAGUCCACGCCGUAAACGUUGGGCGCUAGGUGUGGGGCUCAUUCCACGAGUUCCGUGCCGCAGCUAACGCAUUAAGCGCCCCGCCUGGGGAGUACGGCCGCAAGGCUA
rnacentral:rRNA from 1 species